rnacentral:rRNA from 1 species
UACGUAGGUGGCAAGCGUUGUCCGGAAUUAUUGGGCGUAAAGCGCGCGCAGGCGGUCCCUUAAGUCUGAUGUGAAAGCCCACGGCUCAACCGUGGAGGGUCAUUGGAAACUGGGGGACUUGAGUGCAGAAGAGGAAAGCGGAAUUCCACGUGUAGCGGUGAAAUGCGUAGAGAUGUGGAGGAACACCAGGGGCGAAGGCGGCUUUCUGGUCUGUAACUGACGCUGAGGCGCGAAAGCGGGGGGAGCAAACAGG